CGACCAGACUCCUACGGGAGGCAGCAGUGGGGAAUAUUGCACAAUGGGGGGAACCCUGAUGCAGCGACGCCGCGUGAGUGAAGAAGUAUUUCGGUACGUAAAGCUCUAUCAGCAGGGAAGAAAAAAGGACGGUACCUGAGUAAGAAGCCCCGGCUAACUACGUGCCAGCAGCCGCGGUAAUACGUAGGGGGCAAGCGUUAUCCGGAUUUACUGGGUGUAAAGGGGGCGCAGACGGCAGCGCAAGCCUGGAGUGAAAGCCCGGGGCCCAACCCCGGGACUGCUCUUGGAACUGCGCGGCUGGAGUGCAGGAGGGGCAGGCGGAAUUCCUGGUGUAGCGGUGAAAUGCGUAGAUAUCAGGAGGAACACCGGUGGCGAAGGCGGCCUGCUGGACUGCGACUGACGUUGAGGCCCGAAAGCGUGGGGAGCAAACAGGAUUAGAUACCCCCGUACU
rnacentral:rRNA from 1 species